UGGCACGAACGUCUUCCCAAGGGGAACAAGUGCCCAACCAGUUUCGAGGAGGCGAAGAAAAUCGUGUGUCCUCUGGAUUUACCGCACGUGAAAUACCAUGUGUGCAUGAACAAUUGCAUCAUUUAUCGGGACGAGCACGCGGAGUCUACCAUAUGUCCGGUGUGCGGCGUCACUCGAUACAAGAAGAGGAAGAAAGCUCCUCGAAAAUCGGUGUGGUACUUUCCGAUCACUCCUCGUCUGCAGCGGUAUUUCACGGAUCCUAAGGUAGCAAAGCUCCUGUGUUGGCACGCGGAUAGGGAGGAGAAGAAGCGGGAAGAUGACAGAAAUGAUCCGGAGAUAAAUAAAAAGGACAAGAUGCUGAGUCACCCUAAGGAUGCGAGCCAGUGGCAAGUGUUGAACUUCAAAUACCCAGAAUUUGGGAAGGAUCCAAGGAACAUCGUGCUGGACGCGAGCACCGAUGGAGUCAAUCCGUUUGGC
rnacentral:rRNA from 1 species